UGGGGAAUCUUGCGCAAUGGCCGAAAGGCUGACGCAGCGACGCCGCGUGGGGGAUGAAGCAUUUCGGUGUGUAAACCCCUGUUGCCCGGGACGAAUCCCUGGUUUCGACCAGGUUGACGGUACCGGGUGAGGAAGCACCGGCUAACUCCGUGCCAGCAGCCGCGGUAAUACGGAGGGUGCGAGCGUUGUCCGGAAUCACUGGGCGUAAAGGGCGCGUAGGCGGCGCGGGAAGUCGGUGGUGAAAGCCCGAGGCUCAACUUCGGGUCGGCCAUCGAUACUCCUGGGCUUGAGCACUGUAGAGGCAGGUGGAAUUCCGGGUGUAGCGGUGGAAUGCGUAGAGAUCCGGAAGAACACCGGUGGCGAAGGCGGCCUGCUGGGCAGUAGCUGACGCUGAGGCGCGACAGCGUGGGGAGCAAACAG
rnacentral:rRNA from 1 species